rnacentral:tRNA from 1 species
GCCCCGAUAGUUUAAUUGGACAGAACGCUCCUGUUACGUAGGAGCUGAUUGAGGGUUCAAGUCCCUCUCGGGGCU